UAUAGCCAAUGACAAACGAGUCUCAAAUAGAAAGAAAACUAAAAAAAACUUGAUUGAUGGAAGACUGGAUUUGCGCUUUGCCUCGACGAUCUUCAUAAUAACAUGAAGCGCCUUUCAUACACAUUACGAAGGUUGUCAGGGCAUUUCCAGGGCGGACCUAUAAACCGCCCGCAUACGUCCAGACCGUACCACAAAAGCCAUCUAACACAAUCAUGUAUCGGUUCACGUCACGGUUUGGACAUACUUUCUCUCGAUAAAUGAAGAUAAACGUGAGGGAGUUUUGCGGGACUCCGAACAUCUCUGUGACCAACCAAAAGGCACCACAUAUCCAAUGACCAGCGUGCACCCGUCAUCUUUUUCACCCGACGCGAGUGAGCGCCGGGUGGGUCGCUGUUGGGCGCAGUGACACGCCGUACUUGCCAACAUAUACACGUCGCGUGCACUGAGCGUGACAGUGGCGGACUGGAUCUGGACGCGGCGACGCCGAUCGUCGCGAUCCUUGGACGACGAUUGUCUCGCACAUCUGGCCAGCCACCCCUGACACGGGGAGGCGUGUAUCGCGUGACGAAACGGGUUUACCCGGGGUCCUGCGCGCGUGCGCCACCAACACGCAGCUAGCAGCGUCCGGCGUGCACGGCAGGCAUCCCUUUCACCCCGAGCGCCACGGAACCGUACCUCCAACGUAGAAACGUCGUGUCAUGGCGUGGCAGCGGCGGACCGGAUCCGGACGCGGUGGCGCCGGCCGGCGACGUGGAAGGUCGUCGGCCGGGACGAUUGCCCCGCACAUCUGGCUCCCCGCGCGGCGCGACAAGUGUGUGCCUCGCCGUGCGCGCGACAAACAUUUCCUGGUGUUUUGUUUCCGGGUCGCGUCGCGUGGGUCGGGGCGGGCGGGGUCCGUCGCGGUGUGCAAGCCGACGAGGCGGCCCCGAUCGGUGGAUCGUGGUCACGCUCGUGCGCGCUGACACCCGCCGGAAAGGAUG
rnacentral:lncRNA from 1 species